AUGCACGCUGACAGAAUGCUUCACACCUGCAAGUCGCUGGGGAAGUGGUGCUUGCACCAUGGCAACCAUGGCGGACGGGUGAGUAACGCGUAAGGGACUUACCUGCAGGACUGGGAUAACAGGGGGAAACUCCUGACAAGACCGGAUAAUGUCAUGGAGCUGCAUGGCUUUAUGAUGAAAGGAGACGCCUGCGGAGAGCCUUGCGUCCUAUUAGCUAGUUGGUGAGGUAAUGGCUCACCAAGGCGAAGAUAGGUAGCCGGCCUGAGAGGGUGGACGGCCACAAGGGGACUGAGAUACGGCCCUUACUCCUACGGGAGGCAGCAGUGGGGAAUAUUGGACAAUGGGGGCAACCCUGAUCCAGCAAUUCUGUGUGCACGAAGAAGGUUUUCGGAUUGUAAAGUGCUUUCAGCAGGGAAGAAGUAAGUGACGGUACCUGCAGAAGAAGCGACGGCUAAAUACGUG
rnacentral:rRNA from 1 species